CUUGACGACCAUAGAGCAUUGGAACCACCUGAUCCCAUCCCGAACUCAGUAGUGAAACGAUGCAUCGCCGAUGGUAGUGUGGGGUUUCC
rnacentral:rRNA from 1 species